GACGUAGGGCGCGAGCGUUGUCCGGAUUUAUUGGGCGUAAAGAGCUCGUAGGCGGCUUGUCGCGUCGUCCGUGAAAACCUGCGGCUCAACUGCAGGCUGGCGGUCGAUACGGGCAGGCUGGAGUUCGGUAGGGGAGACUGGAAUUCCUGGUGUAGCGGUGAAAUGCGCAGAUAUCGGGAGGAACACCAGUGGCGAAGGCGACUACCUGGCCUGUUCUUGACGCUGAGGCGCGAAAGCUAGGGGAGCAAACGGG
rnacentral:rRNA from 1 species